AGCAGUAGCCACGGUAAUACGAAGGGUGCAAGCGUUAAUCGGAAUUACUGGGCGUAAAGCGUGCGUAGGCGGUGAGUUAAGUCUGCUGUGAAAUCCCCGGGCUCAACCUGGGAAUGGCAGUGGAUACUGGCUCGCUAGAGUGUGUCAGGGGAUGGUGGAAUUCCCGGUGUAGCGGUGAAAUUCGUAGAUAUUCGGAAGAACACCAGUGGCGAAGGCGGCUUACUGGCUCAUACUGGACGCUGAGGUGCGAAAGCGUGGGGAGCAAACAGGAUUAGAUACCCGCGUAGUCCCUGUCUCUUAUAC
rnacentral:rRNA from 1 species